rnacentral:rRNA from 1 species
CACGGAGUUAGCCGAUCCUUAUUCCUUCGGUACAUUCAGCCCGGUACACGUACCGGGGUUUAUUCCCGAAUAAAAGCAGUUUACAACCCAGAGGGCCGUCUUCCUGCACGCGGCAUGGCUGGUUCAGGCUUGCGCCCAUUGACCAAUAUUCCUUACUGCUGCCUCCCGUAGGAGUCUGGUCCGUGUCUCAGUACCAGUGUGGGGGGCCAUCCUCUCAGAUCCCCUAGCCAUCGGAGCCUUGGUGGGCCGUUACCCCGCCAACUAGCUAAUGGCACGCAUGCCCAUCUAAACCCCAUGAAUGUUUGAUCAUUGUGCCAUGCGGCACUGUGAUUUUAUGCGGUGUUAAUCCGGAUUUCUCCGGGCUAUCCCCCAGGUUUAGGUAGGUUGCAUACGCGUUACGCACCCGUGCGCCGGUCUCUAGGGAGCAAGCUCCCUAUACCCCUCGACUUGCAUGUAUUAGGCCUGCCGCUAGCGUUCAUCCUGAGCCAGGAUCAUC